GUCUUCACACCUUCCCCACGCAGCUCACCACCGUCUUCACACCUUCCCCACACAGCUCACCGUCUUCACACCUUCCCCACACAGCUCACCUGUCUUCACACCUUCCCCGCACAGUUCACCACCGUCUUCACACCUUCCCCACACAGUUCACCGUCUUCACACCUUCCCCACGCAGCUCACCACCGUCUUCACCCCUUCCCCGCGCAGUUCACCACCGUCUUCACACCUUCCCCACGCAGUUCACCACCGUCUUCACACCUUCCCCACACAGCUCACUGUCUUCACACCUUCCCCGCACAGUUCACCGUCUUCACACCUUCCCCACACAGUUCACCACUGUCUUCACACCUUCCCCGCACAGCUCACCACCGUCUUCACACCUUCCCCACACAGUUCACCACCGUCUUCACACCUUCCCCGCACAGUUCACCACCGUCUUCACACCUUUGUACUGAGAGGGCCCUUCAUUCCUGCCCUUCUAGCAAACUCUUAGUGCUGUAGUACUCACGUCUUCCAGAAAGUGUCCCCAGAUGCUCCCAGGCUGGGCUCCCCCCAUAUCUGGGCCCCCUGAGCUGACCCUGCCCCACCCAUUAAACCCCUC
rnacentral:lncRNA from 1 species